rnacentral:rRNA from 1 species
UCAGUGAAAUCGAGUAGGACGGGACACGUGUUAUCCUGUCUGAAUAUGGGGGGACCAUCCUCCAAGGCUAAAUACUCCUGACUGACCGAUAGUGAACCAGUACCGUGAGGGAAAGGCGAAAAGUACCCCUGUGAGGGGAGUGAAAUAGAACCUGAAACCGUGUACGUACAAGCAGUAGGAGCAGGCUUGUCCUGUGACUGCGUACCUUUUGUAUAAUGGGUCAGCGACUUAAUUUUAGUAGCAAGGUUAACCAUCUAGGGGAGCCGUAGGGAAACCGAGUCUUAACUGGGCGUCAUAGUUGCUAGGAUUAGACCCGAAACCGAGUGAUCUAGCCAUGGGCAGGUUGAAGAUUGAGUAACAUCAAUUGGAGGACCGAACCGACUAAUGUUGAAAAAUUAGCGGAUGACUUGUGGCUAGGGGUGAAAGGCCAAUCAAACUCGGAGAUAGCUGGUUCUCCCCGAAAGCUAUUUAGGUAGCGCCUCGGACGAAUACUACUGGGGGUAGAGCACUGUUAAGGCUAGGGGGUCAUCCCGACUUACCAACCCUUUGCAAACUCCGAAUACCAGUAAGUACUAUCCGGGAGACACACGGCGGGUGCUAACGUCCGUCGUGAAGAGGGAAACAACCCAGACCGCCAGCUAAGGUCCCAAAGUUAUAGCUAAGUGGGAAACGAUGUGGGAAGGCUCAGACAGCCAGGAUGUUGGCUUAGAAGCAGCCAUCAUUUAAAGAAAGCGUAAUAGCUCACUGGUCGAGUCGGCCUGCGCGGAAGAUUUAACGGGGCUAAGCUAUACACCGAAGCUGCGGCAAUGUGCU